GAGAAAAGUGAUUAAUAGAGAUGGGGGCUAGAGAUGAAUACUUGGACUCUGAUGCCCGUAGAUAAAGUUGGGGGGGAGUUAGUUUUUAGCAAUGAGAUAAAGUAAACUCGGAGAGCUAAGCAGUUCAAGUAAGACUGGGUUACUGAGGCCACUAAUGUUGGUCGACAACCUCAGUAGCUCCAGGCUCCUCUCUUACCUGGCGAUGAACCAGGAGCCUGGUUUUGCUGACUGUCCCGGGGAUCUUAAGAUUAAAGAGGCUUAUCUUGCCCAGCUUACGGGGUGGACUGUGGAAAUGGCGAGGACCUGCUGCUUUGCUGACGUAUCUUCAAAAGCUUCUGAAGGUGAAGAAGAUGACCUCAGACUAAGGCUGUAGGACGCUUGCCGGGCCUGCGUGAAAUAGACUUGCCCCCUUGGCAGGCUGGGACUCAACAAGAGAAGGUGUGUGCUGUAUGCUUUAGUUGGUGGUUUGCAAAGUGUUCACUUUCCUGUGAACUCAAAAUGAAUGCAAUCUUUUACUUUGGGUGUAGUGAUUGAUAGCAUUCUAUUUUCUGUCUGUUUAUAGAGUCAUAUUUUUUUUUGCCUCAGACCAAUUAAAUUUAAGCAGAAGUAAAUAACAUGAAUUAUUUACAGAGGAAAAGUUUUCAGGCCGAGAAUCUUAGCACUUACUUCUUUAUUCAGCUUGAUCCUCAGCACAAACUGCCCAAGGUGAACAUGGAAGUCUUCGUUUUGUGUGGAGAUAAAAGUUGAGAAGUAGAUAUUUGGUCCAAGGUCACCCAGGUAGUAAGUGGUAAACACAGAUGUGCCUCACUCCCGGCCUACAGUCUACACUGUGCUUUCUGCCUAUGCCUGUGCUCCGGAAGAGAACUAUAACAUGUGUGGUGUGUGUGGAGUGAUUUAUAGCAUGGGUAUGUACAGGGGGCCACAGAAGUCAACUUGCCAAGCAAGUCAUUAUCCUGGGGAGACCAUAAAAAGAGUUAGCCAUCUCAUUUCAGAAGCUAGGCUAGGAAGCUUGGAGAGGCGGUGUCUUGUCCAAGGUAAAGGAAUGGCAACGUUGGGAAGGAAAGUCGUGAUUCCAUAGUCAUUAGGAAGGAAAGACAUGCUUCCAUAGUGCCUUUUGCAUAGAUGAGAGCAAGUCUCCUGGUAACAUGGUGCUAGAGUUCCAGCCACAAUGGCUACACAAUCUGUAGGGUAAUUAAAAAGAGAAGGAGAAAGACUUAUGUCGCUUAGAGGACAUGGUCUUCAGAACAAGUUUAUACAGGACUAGUUGAUCCCAGAUAGCAGUCCCCUGUACCAGGUAAACUUUCCUGAUAGAAGUCAGAUGGGAGCAGAUAAUACUCAAAAGAGCUCAUCUAUUCCCAAGUUCAAGGCCUGGGUGAAGAAGCUUGGGAAGCAGGCAGAUAGAAGGGCAGCGUGGAGAGCCUGGGCAUGCUCAGUGCUGGUGGUUAUAGACAGCCCAGGACUUUGGGCACCAAUCUGUGUCAGGGUAUUAACAAUCAUCCAUUGAUACGUAAACUAUCCAAAAUCCAGUGCCGUUUACACAACUGCUGAGGUUUCUGAUCAUGGAUUGUGUGGGUCAGGAACUCAGACGAGACCUGUGGAAAUGGCUCAUCUCUGUUCUGUAAUGUGGAGACCCCAGCUCCGAUGACUCAAAGCUGCUGUCAGGCACCUUUGUCUCCUCACGGACUCUUCAGGGGCUUCCUGGAGGAUAACAUGGGUAUCCAGGGUUCCAAAACACGAAGACAAAAGCCAGUUUCAGAUCACACCUCCAAAGUCUAUAUGUCACCGAUGCUGUAGGCCAGCUACGAUUCAAGGAACGAGGAACUAGACUCCAGCCCUCAGUGAGAAGAACGUCAAAGAACCUGGGUUACGUUUACUCUACUGCAUUAUAGCUUGGGUGAUGAUGACCACCUUUCCUUCACUGUUGGUAUGAGCCCAUGUGAGAGCAGUCAACAUGCCAAGGGAUUUGGGGAUUAGUCUAAGACAGAAAUCUCUAAACCAGAAAGAUCAAGUUUCAAAGCCAAGGCCUGUCUUAGCUACUGAUGUCCACUCAAAGCCUAAGUUUCCAAGUCUCUGAAGUGGGAUUGAUCCUACCUGCUGACUGGGGGUGAGAGUGGAGACUGUGUAAGACCCUGUUUUAGGCUAACUCACUAGAUCAAACUCUGAAAUCAACGGAAUGUGGAAACUGUCAGGCUAUUUCACGAGUGAAAAAAAGAAGGCCUGUUUCAGAAACCAAGGCAGGCAGAGACAGGAAGACGAAGAGGAGUGAGCCAUAAAGCCUGGGGAGUGACUUUACCUCAACCACACUGGGUUUCUUCCAAGAAGAAUGUAGCAACGUCACAGAGGCAGAGGAAGGUGGAAGAUUCCGUCUCCUAGGGUGUUUACAUUCCCACCAUCCUCAGUCAUUAGGAGAGGCUGAUCAACUCUCAGGCUGACAGAGACCCUUGAGACCAGACAAACUUGCUCUGGCCACAUAGGGUGGUUCUCUGGCCUAAGAAGGAUGCUCUUUUAAAGAGAAAGCUGUCUAAGAAGCCAGCAUGUAAGACUACAGCACACUGGAGAGGAUGUAGCAAAUAGCUGGCAAUAGUAUAUAUAAGUUGUUCAGCUCAGUGUGUGGUCCAGGAGCCUUCCGAUAAAUGUCAGUCUGUUGACCAGAAUACUCCAGAUGUCUGCAGGAUGCUCUCCCUCUUUCCCAUGGACCUCCACUUCAGUGAGGUAUUUAAAACCAGCUGUCAUUGUCGAUGCUGUCAUCAUACUGCAUGUUCUCCUGGCCCACAGAAGAUUAGAGCACCUACGGAGUUCAGCUUCUCUUUCUCCCCAUCUUUUGCCUGGAUCACAUGGACAUUGAAGGCUUCUCCAACUUCUUCCAUGGAAGGUGUGACCUCUGAAGAAGACUGAUCUAUUCCCAACUGCCUAUUCUUCACAGUGCUGUGUUGAAUAACCGCUAUGCCGGGCACUGUGCUGUAAACUGAGCAUAUGGUCAAUAAAACCAUCAUGGGCUUUAAAA
rnacentral:sRNA from 1 species